GAAACAUAGAAACAUAGACUGUGAUGGCAGAUAAGAACCAUUUGGCCCAUCUAGCCCGCCUGAUUUUCUAAAUAAUUUCAUUAGUUUUUGGCCUUAUCUUAAGUCUAGGAUAGCCUUAUGCCUAACUCGCGCCUGCUUAAACUCUUUCACUGUGUUAACCUCUACCACUUCAGCUGGAAGGCUAUUCCAUGCGUCCACUGCCCUCUCUGUAAAG